CCUCCAUCUCGCCAUCGAUCGGCGGGCGCCGCUCCUCGCCGCGGCCCGGGGGAUCCGAGCGCUCGUGGUGGUACCUGGACGAAGAUCUGCGAAGACAGAGGGGAAAACUUUGUUCUUGCUGAUCUGGGGAAGUUGCAAGCUUCAGUCAUGUGCUUGGAUCCAUGGAGAUUUGGAGGAGGAGGAAGAAGGACUAAAUUUGUCGGACAUCUAAAUUUAACUGCUGCAGGUGCUGCAUGGAGAUUCUUGCAGAUACGGAGGGAGGAAGAAGAGCCGGAUCAGUUUGUCUUUGCACAAGUAUCUAGAGGAGAGGAGAGGACGAGAGAGAGAGGGUUCCGUGGUGGUUAUGCUUUUGAUGCGUUGGGUUAGGUCGGCUAUGCAUGGUUGUCUGUUACUUUCACUGACGUGUUUGAGGUGUUCAGUACGUACCUUUUCUUGA